rnacentral:piRNA from 1 species
UCUAAGAACAUGGAGGAAUAUAGACACCCUC